CCCUUAGAUGUUCGGGGCCGCACGCGCGCUACACUGAAGGAAUCAGCACGUCUUUCUCCUUGUCCGAAAGGACUGGGUAACCCGCUGAACCUCCUUCGUGCUAGGGAUUGGGGCUUGUAAUUCUUCCCCAUGAACGAGGAAUUCCCAGUAAGCGCGAGUUAUAAGCUCGCGUUGAUUACGUCCCUGCCCUUUGUACACACCGCCCGUCGCUACUACCGAUUGGAUGGUUUAGUGAGAUCCUCGGAUUGGUCCCGGAGCGGCCUCUGGUCGUGCCGGAGUGCCGAAAAGAAUGUCGAACUUGAUCAUCUAGAGGAAGUAAAAGUCGUAACA
rnacentral:rRNA from 1 species